rnacentral:rRNA from 1 species
UACGUAGGUGGCAAGCGUUGUCCGGAUUUACUGGGCGUAAAGGGCGUGCAGGCGGUCUGUUAAGUGCAGGGUGAAAGCUCCCGGCUCAACUGGGAGAGGUCCUUGCAUACUGGCGGACUUGAGGGGGGUAGAGGAAAGUGGAAUUCCCGGUGUAGUGGUGAUAUGCGUAGAUAUGGGGAGGAACACCGGUGGCGAAGGCGGCCAUCUGGACGGUAACUGACGCUGAGACGCGAAAGCGUGGGGGGCAAACAGG